rnacentral:rRNA from 1 species
UACGUAGGGUGCGAGCGUUGUCCGGAAUUAUUGGGCGUAAAGGGCUCGUAGGCGGUCUGUCGCGUCGGGAGUGAAAACUCAGGGCUUAACCCUGAGCCUGCUUCCGAUACUGGCAGACUAGAGGUAUGCAGGGGAGAACGGAAUUCCUGGUGCAGCGGUGAAAUGCGCAGAUAUCAGGAGGAACACCGGUGGCGAAGGCGGUUCUCUGGGCAUUACCUGACGCUGAGGAGCGAAAGUGUGGGGAGCGAACAGG